UACGUAGGGUGCAAGCGUUAAUCGGAAUUACUGGGCGUAAAGCGCGUGUAGGCGGUCCGGUAAGUCCGCUGUGAAAGUCGAGGGCUCAACCCUGGAAAGCCGGCCGAUACUGUCGGACUAGAGUCCGGAAGAGGCGAGUGGAAUUCCCGGUGUAGCGGUGAAAUGCGCAGAUAUCGGGAGGAACACCAAUGGCGAAGGCAGCUCGCUGGGACGGUACUGACGCUGAGGCGCGAAAGCGUGGGAGCAAACAGG
rnacentral:rRNA from 1 species